CCCUCUUUUGAGCUCACACUCUUUUUUUUUCACCACUCAAGCAAUCUUUUAUAACUUUAUACAAAUGGAUCAAUUCAAAUAACAAUUAAUUAUCACUAUGUACUCAAUUUUAAUUAGAGAUAAUAAAGAAUUACCAAAGAAAUAAGAUACAUGAAUUCAACUCUAGAAGCAAACUUGAACAAUCUAAACAAUGAAUAGCACACACUUGAUAUAGAAAUAAGUGUAUGAU
rnacentral:lncRNA from 1 species